UUAGCCUGGCUUACAAAAAGAUGGUCAGAGGCAUCAACCCAUCUGUUCUUAACAGUUUAAUAUCUGAUACGUGGGCCAUCGUUCCACAUGAUAUUAAAUUAAUUUUCUGAGGGGGGGUGCUCACCACAGUAGCUUGCUACUGGAGCUCCCGCGCGUCGCCUAAGCGUUGCACUACAGCUUAGGCCUGGCGCACCCCGC
rnacentral:snRNA from 2 species